UACGAAGGGGGCUAGCGUUGCUCGGAAUUACUGGGCGUAAAGGGCGCGUAGGCGGCACUGUUAGUCAGGCGUGAAAUUCCUGGGCUCAACCUGGGGACUGCGCUUGAUACGGCAGAGCUUGAGGAUGGAAGAGGGUCGCGGAAUUCCCAGUGUAGAGGUGAAAUUCGUAGAUAUUGGGAGGAACACCAGUGGCGAAGGCGGCGGCCUGGACCGAUACUGACGCUGAGGUGCGAAAGCGUGGGGGAGCAAACAGG
rnacentral:rRNA from 1 species